AACGAACGCUGGCGGCAUGCCUAACACAUGCAAGUCGAACGACACCUUCGGGUCUAGUGGCGCACGGGUGCGUAACGCGUGGGAACCUGCCCUUAGGUUCGGAAUAACUCCCCGAAAGGGGUGCUAAUACCGGAUAAUGUCUUCGGACCAAAGAUUUAUCGCCUUUGGAUGGGCCCGCGUUGGAUUAGCUAGUUGGUAGGGUAAAAGCCUACCAAGGCGACGAUCCAUAGCUGGUCUGAGAGGAUGAUCAGCCACACUGGGACUGAGACACGGCCCAGACUCCUACGGGAGGCAGCAGUGGGGAAUAUUGGACAAUGGGCGAAAGCCUGAUCCAGCAAUGCCGCGUGAGUGAUGAAGGCGUUAGGGUUGUAAAGCUCUUUUACCCGGGAUGAUAAUGACAGUACCGGGAGAAUAAGCUCCGGCUAACUCCGUG
rnacentral:rRNA from 1 species